rnacentral:rRNA from 1 species
UACGUAGGGACCAAGCGUUGUCCGGAAUCAUUGGGCGUAAAGAGCGUGUAGGCGGCUUGUUAAGUCUUGCGUGAAAUCUCGGGGCUCAACCCCGAGCGGUCGUGAGAAACUGGCAGGCUAGAGUGCGGGAGAGGAGAGUGGAAUUCCUGGUGUAGCGGUGAAAUGCGCAGAUAUCAGGAAGAACACCCGUGGCGAAGGCGGUUACCUGGAGCUUUGCUGACGCUGAUGCGCGAAAGCGUGGGGGGCGAUCCGG